rnacentral:rRNA from 1 species
UAUGUGAUCGUCUCUCGCAUAUCAAUAAGCGGAGGAAAAGAAACUAACAAGGAUUCCCCUAGUAACGGCGAGUGAAGCGGGAAGAGCUCAAAUUUGAAAUCUUAAAGGGUUUCCCUUUACGAAUUGUAGUUUAAAGAAGUGUUUUCUGUUGAGGUUUUGGUAAAAGUUCUUUGGAAUAGGACAUCAUAGAGGGUGAGAAUCCCGUAUUUGACCUUUACUUUCAACUUUGUGAUACACUUUCAAAGAGUCGGAUUGUUUGGGAAUGCAGUCCAAAAUGGGUGGUAAAUUUCAUCUAAAGCUAAAUAUUGGCGAGAGACCGAUAGCGAACAAGUACCGUGAGGGAAAGAUGAAAAGAACUUUGAAAAGAGAGUUAAACAGUACGUGAAAUUGUCAAAAGGGAAGCGUUUGACACCAGUGUUGUUUUUCUGAAAAUCAAUUAAAGAACUGUUUAUGCUAAGUUGUUUAGACUUUAUCAGCUAACUGUUUAGUUUUGAGCUUUUCUUUAAUGCACUUUUCAGUUAACAAGUCAACAUCAAUUUCUUAUGCUGUAAAAAAGCUUGAGGAAGGUGGCUUGAGAUUCGUCUUAAGUGUUUAUAGCCUCUUGCCUAUGCAGUCGGAGAGAUUGAGGUCUGCAGCGUAGAUCCUUCGGGGCUAAAUGCAUUUGUGCUAAGUUAUAGCAUUUUAUAGACAACUUGUUGACUAUGAUUUGUCUUGUAGCUUACUCGCUUAUGUUAUUUUACCUACGCUUAGGAUGUUGAUCUACAGAGCGAGAGU